CCAUGAUUGGUUUUGUAAGUUUGAAACUUUUCUCCAAGGGUUUUAUAGAGAAUGAUUGGCCUGGAGCAAGCAUAGAAGCAGAGAGGUGCAUAAGGAGGCUAUUGCAACAGCUCAGCUGAGAAAUAGUGUAGGCAGAGCCCAGGGCAGCAGCAGUGUGCCUGAAGAGGAGUGGAUGAAAAUGAACUAUUUCCAAGUCCUCCUGGGACUCCAGUAAGACAAGUCUUGCCUUUCAUGUGGACUCAUACAAUGUAGGUGCUCACAUUGGCGGAGUAAGAAGCACUGCACAGAAAUAGCUCAUUGGCAGAAUUGCGCUCUCAAGGAUGGAUAUCUUCAAGCCAUCCUUGACCCUCUAGAGCAGAAAGACAAACAAGUGUAAUGCUGAGGAAUGGGAAAAAUGUUUAAUUGCAAGCAGAAGAAUCUCACGUGAAAUUGUGAGUGGACUUCAGUGAUGACUAUCAAAGGAAAUUCUCAUAAUGAUUCGUUUUUCUUCCCAAUGAUGGCACUACCGUUCUCAGGAAAGCCCAGUUCCCUUCCUGGCUUGGAUAUUAACUGAUAGUUUGAAUGAACAUAGUAUUUUUAUAAAAUUGUCUUUGCAUGUGUUGAUGCCACCGUCAGGAAGGUCCUUUCCACCUCCCUUCUCCCAGUUCUUCUGGGAAUUCCUACGUGGCCUUCCAUACCUAAAUAAUAACAAUG
rnacentral:lncRNA from 10 species